GACAGAGGGGGCAAGCGUUGCUCGGAAUUACUGGGCGUAAAGGGCGCGUAGGCGGGAUGGCAAGUCGGUCGUGAAAUCCUUCGGCUCAACCGAAGAACGUCGAUCGAUACUGCUGUUCUUGAGGGUUGCAGAGGAGACUGGAAUUCCCGGUGUAGUGGUGAAAUGCGUAGAUAUCGGGAGGAACACCAGUGGCGAAGGCGACUACCUGGCCUGUUCUUGACGCUGAGGCGCGAAAGCUAGGGGAGCAAACGGG
rnacentral:rRNA from 1 species